rnacentral:ncRNA from 1 species
GUAUUCCUUCGGGGCAGGGUGGAAAUCCCUACCGGCGGUGAUGAAACGAAUUGUUUCUUAGUCCGUGACCCGUCUGCUAGUAUUGCAGCCGGUGGACCUGGUGAAACUCCGGGACCGACAGUUAAAGUCUGGAUGGGAGAAGGAAAAA